rnacentral:lncRNA from 1 species
AAUGGCGCUCAUAUGGAGUGUAGGCACGAGGCAACUUUUUAAUCAUUAUUAACACCUCGGUUUGAAGGCUUAAUAACGAUUGAAGGGGGCACUAUUUGGGUUAAUAUUUGAACUUGGGCUGGAGGAAGAUAAGCCGAAAAGGAAGCCGAGAAGACAUGACUCUGCCCGAAGGCCUAGCAUCAAAUCCAUUCGCCCAGCCCAAGGCAAAAUGAUGAUUCCACAUUAAAUGCAAAGGCUAGUAGCUUGAAAGAAGUGACACUUGAUGGAAAUCAACCUACUCUCAGCCCAAAAGCACUUUCUGAAUGGCAGAGUAUGUAAAUUACUGAUGAGUCACUAACCCUCAGUUGCUUUCGGGCAGGAGCCAAGUUGCAAGCAAUCAGACUAAUUCGGCUAUAAAAGCAGGAAGAGGGCCGAGACACA